UACGUAGGUCGCAAGCGUUGUCCGGAUUUACUGGGCGUAAAGAGCGCGCAGGCGGCUGGUCAAGUCCGAUGUGAAAUCUCCCGGCUCAACUGGGAAACUGCAUCGGAAACUGAUCGGCUUGAAGAUGGGAGAGGGUAGUGGAAUUCCCGGUGUAGUGGUGAAAUGCGCAGAUAUCGGGAGGAACACCUAUGGCGAAGGCAGCUCGCUGGGACGGCACUGACGCUGAGACGCGAAAGCGUGGGGAGCAAACAGG
rnacentral:rRNA from 1 species